rnacentral:lncRNA from 1 species
AGGAGAAUAAAAGCCUCUGUGAGCGGAGACCCUGAAACACACCGAGGAGAAGAGGAGGAGGAGGAGGGGGAGCGUUUCUGUCACACCAACCUCUCAUCCUCCGAUCAUCUGAAGACGUCUGAAGUUGGAGCGACGUGAGAAACUGUUUUUAAGUCUUUUUAAAAAUAUAAGAUCCAUCCUCAGCAGCUGUGGUCCUUCAUAAAGAUCCAAACGACUCUUCAUCCACUCAUCUUCAUCUUCGAGAGUCUUCACCUGUUCUGGGUUUGACUCCGGUCCUGGUCUCCUCUCACUCUACAUACCUGCAGGGAUGUGGUUCCCGUGUGUGUGUGUGUGUGUGUGUGUUAAAAACCAGUCCCUGUGUGUCCUCGUCUUCUUGUCUCACCUGAGCACCUGUGUGAGAGCACCAUCAUCACGUCUGAGGGGAGUCCUCCUCUCCGUAACUUUCCCUCCUGUCUGUUUGGAGAUUAAAAAAACAAUCAUCCCUCUUUUAUUCCUCUCCUCUCCUCAGACCUCAGCUCAGUAUUCCUCUUUUAUUAUUCCUGAAUUUUUCUCCCUCCAGCCUCGAUGGAAAACGUGAGUCUCUCUCCAAAUACUCCACAAAGUCCGGUCAGUAUUCCCUCAGAUCCACAGACCUGCAGCUUUGAGAAGCUCCUUGAUGGUCUUGGAUCUCCUGGUCCUCCUGGUCCUCCUGUGGAGCAGACUGUCAUGUGGAUUUCCUCUCAGAGUCGGAGAGUUGUAGUCGUCCUCAGUGAUGAUCAGGAGCUGAAUGAUUUCCUCCUCUCUCUCUCUCUCUCUCCCUCUCUCUCUCCUCACGCCGUCUCUCUCACUGGGAUCUCCUCCGCUCGCUCUUAACCCAGGGUCUCUCUCUCUCUCUCUCUCUCUCGGCUCGCUCUCGUUCUCAUUCAUUGCCUCCCCCCUCUCUCUCAUUUGCUGAACCUGUAUUCCUGCCCCCCUCUCUCUCUCUCUCUCUCUCUCUCUCUCUCUCUCUCUCUCUCUCUCUCUCCUUAAAGGGACAUUCUGACACUUUUCUCCUUUUUUCAGCAGCAGGUCCGAACAUUCAAACAGACUCAGUUUAAUCUUGAUGGAUCGAACCGUUCACACUCUGACAGGAUAUUUAUUUAUGGCGGAAUGACUCUGAUCCGGGUCCACAUCUUCUUUCUGAUCCAUGAUAACCAAGGCGGGUAGAGCAGCAGCAAAGACCCUGAACUCUGCUCUGCCCAGAUUAACCCGUGCUGGAAAGGAAGUCGGGCACAGACACAAAAUAAAACAUCCGGCUUCUUUUCAAAAUAAAAGACUCUGAGGAGAUGCUGAUUCUAGAAGUCUAGAAGUAGAUUUCCUCCUCUGGAAGGACACAAUCUACUGCUUAUAUGUCUAUGUGUCUGUCUUUAGAGAGACAACUCGUUAUCGUGAGAUUGAUCGUGAAUCUGAGGGUUCUUGUGAGUUCUUGUUAUUUGCGCUGUCUGAAAUCCGCCACGAAAUUCACCUUAAGAGGAUCCAGUAGGAAUUGGUGGACGGCAAAAAUCGUGGGCGUGGCCUAAAUGUUGUGAUUGACCACGCCCAUCUUUUCUAACACUUCAUAAAAAGGCUCAAGGUUGUCAUCUGUCAGAUUAUCGUUCUCUCUCUGUCUGUGGAUUUUUGUCGUUUUCAGCACAUUUCUGCUCUCACACAUUCACCCGUAUCAAUAACUCCUGCAGGUUAGUCCUGAUGAUGAACAUCCAGACUCUUCUGAUCAGAUCUGUCAGCCUCCAAACUAAAAAUCUGUCUGAAAAGGUUUUUAACAGGAACACAAACACGAAGAGCGAAAACACAGCUGAGCGAUCUGUCGGCGAAUCGUCUCUGAGAGCGUCUGUAAGGAGGUCGUUCCUGCUGCAGAAACACAGACAGGAAAGAAAUAAGACAACAGAAACACAGAGACGACGGAGGAUGACAGACAGACGGACGGACGGAGAGUCAGAGAGGAAAUUCAGUAAAUAAUGGAGAGUGUGAGAGACAGGAGGGAGACAGUGAUCACCCCUCUGAGAGACAACAGGAGAGAGAGAAAGACUGAGGGCCUGUUUAGAUGAUCGAGAAUCAGGGUCCACAUGGAGAUGAUCAGAGGAGAUAUAGAGGGUCAAUAAAGACGAUCACUGACAUGAUCAAUAUUAGAGGAGGGUGAGAUCGACUUCAAAACUGAGGGGAAACUCUGAUCUUCGUUACGACACCCAAAUAUAGAAGAGCUGAAAGGGAAAUGAGCUCAAUAAUAAAUCUGUUUGAUCACAUAACAUCCACCGAGGACGUCAGCGAGAGAGAGAGAGAGAAAGAGAGAGAGACAGAGAGAGAGAGAGAGAGAGAGAGGGAGAGAGGGAGAGAGAGAGAGAGAGAGACAGAGAGAGAGAGAGGAAUAAGAAGUGUUUUAUAACCCUCUCUGUGAUUUCCUGCUCACCCUUCCUGCUCCGUUGAAGAUCUUUUGUCUGAUGAUGGAUUUUUAUUUCAGCCGUAGAAAAACUGUUUUCUGUUCACAGGGAGGGAAACGGAGGGAAAAUGUCAGAGGAAGCGAAAAACGCACACCUGACAGUGAGUGGUGGCAGGAACAGCCUCUCCUGUCAGACACAGAGCAGGUCUACCACACAGAGAUGAAGGAUCAUCAGCACACCUGCUCUCAGAUAUAAACACAAACAUUCGUCACAAAAACGCAGAGUGAACCUUUAAAACGGAGGGUGCAGCAUCUAUGAUUUCCAGUCCUUCCUUGAAAGUCCUUAAGUCCAGGUGUCCUUCUCCAAAACAGAGUUAGAUUUUGAUUUUGAUCCUCAGAGGAACGGAAAGAAGUCGGUGUAAAUUGACACAUUAACUUGAAUGGUUACGAUCAGCUACGAUCUGAGGAUACGACCUUUUAGGAGACGAUCAGGAUGAAGGUGGAGUUCGGGGUCAGAGGUCAGCUGAAGGACUUGAUCCCUGGAGAUGACCCAUGAAGAAGUGAUUGGAGUCUGUGUAUCAAACAUCACGUCUGUAGCUGAUCAUCAGAUCAAUGUGGACAGUGUUUUGAACUCUUCUAGGGGGCGCCAGAGAGCCAAUUUGUUAAAAACUCAGAAAUUGUCAUUUCCUCACAUGACCUGAUGGACCGGGACAGUCCUGAACAGAACAAGUCUGUAGAUCCAGGUUCAGAUGCUGUUUUUAUCCUCAGUGACAGGGACGCCGUCUCUCUCUCUCUCUCUCUGUCUCUCUCUCUCUCGCUCUUUUUAAAGCGAUGUUAAAACGAUAAGGACGCUGACCCGCCUUUGUAUCACCAGGAGAGGAAACAGAGAUAAGAGCGGACGAAGGCGUGAAGAUAAUUCAGCAAUAGAUAGACAACAGAGAUAAGUGUUCGGAGUCAGCGUGAGGAAGAGGAGAUAAAGAGACAGCAGCAGACGUUUGUCCUCUGUCCUUCACACACAGACACAGACCUGCAGGUACCUACCAGAGGACAGAGGACACCAGAUCCAGACUCUGUUUAGUGAAGAGGUUCGAGUCAGUCAGGAAAAUAACAGAGAGGAGGUUUCAAAGAUUCUCAGUUUGGUUGAUUUUCAUGUUUUGGCGUCUUCUGAGGGAUGACACGCUCUCAUUGUUGGAGGACAUCUUCAGCCCUGGAGCCCAUGAGGGUCCUGCAGAGAAACAUGGAGACUACAGCUGAGCGUCUUUGUGUCUGAACAGACUGUUUUUGUUUCACUCAGGUGUGUGUUUUAGUCCUGCUGUCUGGAGACUCUCGGUCUGAUUUUUAAAGGAUCAGGUUUAUAUCCAGGAUCAUGUGUUCUUCUCAGAGUUAAAAGUCUGAAUCCAUGAGGUGAAGAUCAUGUUUCCUCCUCCUCUGUCCUCUCAGACUCUGAACGUGUUCGAGGAUUCAGUCAGAUACUUCAGACCGCAGUCGUCUCUUCAUGUUCAUCAUCAGCUCUGUCUCUGGUUUCACAGAGACACUUUAGAGUCAUUCAUAGAAACAUGAAGACUGUCUCUCCUCACACUCAUCUUCAUCAUCACGCAGACGCAGGAUAGAAAUACACAGCAGUCUGAGGAGCCGUAAACAAACAUCAACCAAAACGCCACUCUAUAGCCACAAAUAAUGCUCAGAACAGCACUUCAUCAACAGGACAUAUAGGGUCACAGACAUAGUACUAGAUUCAGAGUUGUUGUAAACUCUGGGUCAAUAAACUUCUACUGUAGUUAAAAUGAAAAGGUAAAGGUGUUUUUAUUGAGCCGAAUUAUCAAUAAAAUCAUGAUUUUGUUAACAGGUAUGGAUUUAUGUGCUGUCGAGUUAGUAUAUGUGAACAAGAGCACAGUAAAGUUAAAUCAGCUAAUUUUCCAAUGAGGUUCUGUUACUAAACGGAACUGCACCAUGUUCUCCUCAGGUUAGUACAUAUAGGGUCACAGACAUAGUACUAGACACCAAACAUCUUUUUAACUUUGACUCAUUUCCUCAGGCCAAUCCAUUACAGACUACAGCGGGGUGCCGCAGCUCAAGGAAGAACAUUUAUGAUCAUUUCUUCAUGAAAAUACAAUCAGACCGAGACGCUAAGACAGAAGAACUACAGCGUCUGUAAAAUGAUUAAUAUGGUGAUUAUUACUUCAAGGAAAUGAUAAAGAAAUGAUCAUAAAUGUUCUUCCUUGAGCUGCAGCACCCUGCUGUAGUCUGUAAUGGACUGUCAUGAUCGUAAUCCUGUCAUCAUAUAUGUUUUUGUAUUUAGUUUUCUCCUGGUUUUGGUCUGUUGAGAGUAUUUUCUUUGUGAUUUUGACUUCCUCAGUUUUCCCUCCUCUGUGAUUGUCCUCACCUGUGUCUCAGUGUCUCACCUUCCUCUCGUUGAUCGUUUCCAUGAGUGUGUAUUUAAAGUCCUUAUCUUCUCUGUGUCUUUGUUGGUUCAUUGUGAAUGUGUGUGUUUGUCGUCUCCAGUGUCUCCCUGUGGUUUUUCAGUUCUUUGGAUUUUUUAAUCUGACAUUUUAAGGAAGUUUUUGUUGCUUUUCUUUCUGUUCAACCUCACAAUUCUGAAAACCAGCCUCUUUCUGUUCCUCUUUAAAUAGAAACACCACCAUCGUCAUCAUCUUCAUCAUCAUCAUCAUCAUCUUCUUCACAGUGGGUCUGGGAUCUUCUUCAUCAGCUCUGCAGGUUUCCCCUGAAUCCAGGCUGUAAACCAUGAAAACAGAUGAACGUGUGAUGGUGAAUGAUUGAGUGAAAGUCCUUCAGGGAGACACUUUCACAUCUGCUCAGUUUUAGAACAACAUCACGAACCAACAACAUGCGGAGCUGCUUUUAGAGGAAAUACAUGUUUUUAAAAACUUUAAAGUGUCAAACUGAAGCAGAGUCAGGACUGUAAAGACGAAGACUCAGAGAGGUUCAGAAACAAACGAAGACGGAGUUUCACUUUUUCUUUUACGGGGAAAAAACGAACUUUUUUUUGGGACAUUUAAAGUUUUUAGGUUUGAACUUUGUCUCUUAAACCUGUAGAGACAAAGUCUUUUUUUGGACAGUUAAACAGUGUCUGACUCUCUGAUUCUUCCUGCAUGUAAAUGAGACAUCAGUGACUCUCCUGAGUGAGCGGCGCCCCGCAGAUAUAAACCAGAUCCACUCCGAGGAAAGACCAGGACCAGAUCUGUUCAAACACUCUGAGUCAGACAGUCAACAAGCAGCAGAUCUGUUAAUACUGAGCAGACACGCUCACCACGCCAAGUCCUUAAUGCCGCUGAGACGCGUCACUGACGGCGUCUCUGACACGUCUUCAUAAAAGAGCAAGAAAUCCACUCCGCUGACUCACCGCUCAGCGUCACACUGAUUGAACCAGACGGACAGUCGAGGAAGUUUUAACCACCGACUGAAAGAACCAGGUCAGGUCAAAAUGAGAGUAAUUCAGGCUGAUAGAGACGUGAGAGGAUGAUGAUGAUGAUGAUGAUGAUGAUGAUGAUGAAGGAAACGGAUCAAGAGAACCAAUCAAACACGUCAUCCAUCUGGACCUUCACCAUCAUCAAACCCCGAACAGUCGUCAUCACGUCCUGUAUCAGUGAUCAAUUCUCCAUCUCUUCAUGAGGAGAAGGUUUCAUUACGGUGAACACCUGAACUCUGUGGAUGUCUCUGAGUCUCCUCCUCCUCCUCCUCCUCCUCCUCUUCCUCUCGACUCCUCCAUGCUUCAUCAUCGUUUGUGCCCGUCUGCUCCCAUUGGUGCUUUGAUUAGGCUGCUUUAUUGAUAGGGCGUCAGCAGGAGCAUCGUUAAACCUCAAUGAAUUCUCAAUGAGGCCAAAUGAAGAAUCGAUGAUCCACAAAUCACAGACUGGAGCUUUAAAUGGAAAUGAGCUCAGCUGGGAAACGAAGCUCGUCGUCGUCGUCAUCGUCAGCGUCUUCGUCGAGUAGAUCACUGAUUUCUUUCUUGUGUAUUUUGCAUCCAUGAGAAAGUACCUGCAGGGUUUACAAGACUGCUUCUGAAUAAUCCCAUCAUGCACCUUGUUUGUAUGAUGGUCCCACAGCACACCUGGUGGAAGAGUUCUGAGAUCCACGCUGAUGACCUGCUCCGUUUUACGCCAAACACCUCAACGUGUUUGUGACAAAGUCACCUGACACCUGUAGCAAUCAAGACAACCCUGGAUGUGAAACCCACACAUUCCUUACAGGAAAGUUUCCUUAUCUGGUCCCAGGAAACAGGAUAUAAAUCUUUCCAGACGUGUUUGCACUUUCAGGUUAAAUAAGUGACCCAACCGGAGGUUGACUAAACCUCUGACUCUUCAGGAUUGGUCAGUUCGGCGAACAGAGACAGAGUUUUUAUUACCUUUCAAACUGACUCCAUUACUGACCAUCUAAAUAAACAUUAACGUCUCAACCCAGAUCUCCCAUUUGAGAUUUAGCGUCUUAAAGUGUGUGAACAUAAGGACCCCAGGAAAAGGGGGGACACUGACCUCCAGACCUCGGUCGUAAAACCCUGCUCGACCAUACACUGAUAAAGACUGCAUUCCUUUGGUGAAAGAAUACAAAUGACUGAUCAUGACAUCUUAUGCAUUCAGCAAUGUACUAAUCUGUCUAAUCAUGAAAUUUGUGUUAAAAUGAGAUGUUUCCCGUUUUUCUAUGUGCUUCAGAAGCCAAGUUAUCUUAUCUGACAGAAUAAAUCCUUAUUCUUUAGUUCUUUAGACCAACAGCUUUUCAGACUGUUUCAUGAACUUUUAAGAGUUAAAUUUAUUGACUAUGAAUCCUAAGUUUACUCUAAGUAACAGAAAUAGUUUAGAAAUGUUUGGUUUAUAUUUUAGUUAUUUAUUUAGUAUCUUAACCAUUAGGUGGUUAUAAUGUCACUGAAUAAUCUGAAUGUGAGUAUUUAGAAUCCAUUAUUAAUCACGAUGACGUUCAUUCACAUGUGUUUACUCUUUUGUUGUUCACAGUUUUCAUGUGUUACUAUCUGUUUCAUUUCAGAGUAAUUUAGCAUGUUCAAUGUGAUACUUAAAACAUAAUGAGAAUGUUUGAUGUGAUCCUACACUUCAUUCAUAUGUGUUUAGUAUCAAAUUAUUUAUCAUGAAACCAAGCAUUCAAUGAUAUUAAUCAUAGUGAGUGAGUAUCAGAUCUGACUCUUUUACCAGCCAAAAGAAUAAGUUAGAUCAAAUAAUCAGAGACCCGAUGACCCCCUCCUCUUUCUCCUCAGACACUCCCAGUGUGAGAAGAUAAAACCAGUGGAGUGGGGUUGCUCACUCUCUUAUCUCUCUUAUACUUCUGCUCUUCUGCUGACUCUCUUGUCCCCGGCUCUUAUGCCCCUUCUCUUCUGCCCACACCCUUCUGUGGUGCGUUUCUUUAUUUUCUCUUAGAACUUUUUCUUAGUCUUCUAAGUUUUACGCCACGUGUUGAUUCACGUUGAUUUUUCUUUAACAUCGUCUUAGUUCAAGUUUUGAAACUUCAACUUUUUGUGCACAUAGCAAUUCAAGAUUAAGCCUUUGAUUGAUUUUCUUUAAUUACGCGAAGCCAUUUUUGAAAGUUUUCUCUGCUCUUCGAGCCUCGUUUUUCUGAGUUUUCUGCGUGAUUUCAAAGUCACCUCCGAACGCAAUCCAACAGGCCCAGGUCAUCCUCUGUGCCAGAGUUUUUGAGUGAGACUAAAGAAGUACCCAAACGAGCAUCCACAGGAUCCACAGGCGCUGGUUUUUGCUUCGGGCCUGAGUGCUGCAACUCCUGGCUCAUCCUUCGGCUGACUUCAGUCGUCUUCUGAGCUGAACCGCUCGAACCGCCAGUAGCCCGGACCUUCGGAACCUGCUCCAUCUUCUCCAAGGACCAGUCUCACUUAAGUAUGCAAACCUCCAGAGCUCUAAAGAGGGCUGGUGCUGUCUCCUGCGUUCAACUCAGAUAUCCUCUUAUUCUGGUAAUCUUAGAUUCCUCCAAAUCCACAUCCGAGUUUAUCUCGACACUAAAGUUAGUGUAGGUUAAUAUGUUAGCGCAUAUUCACUCACUAUCAUUAACUUUAGUGCUCCUAGCCUGACUCAGAAUCUUGAUUUAUUCACCUAUUAUUAUUUAUCUUCAUUAUCUUAUCAUCAUUUAUUGCAUGUGUGUUGUACCAUCAUUUAUCCUGUAAUAAACAGAUAAUUAUUUUUCUAAGUUCUGGUCUGUUAGUGUUCUUCCAGAAGUGGAGUCCCUGAAAUUAGAAUUUCGACUUAAGAUAUGAGACUGAUUAAUUAAGACUGAUUAAUUAAGACUGAUUAAUUAAAACUGACUUGAUGUUUGAUUUCUGAAUUAAACUUUUGUUUUCUUUAUUUUCCCACCAUUAAGGGUGGGUGGUGCCCCUUUCAACGAGUGCAUAAAUGUCAUAAUUUGAGAUUAUUAAUCUUCAGACAUUUAUUAUAAAUUCCAAUCGCCAAGUAUUAUUUUGGUGCGGCCUUGUGAGGCUCAUUUCAAAUCGCUACAUAUAUUUUGGUGCGACCGUAUGAGGCUCAUUUCAAAUCACUACAUAUAUUUUGGAGCCCCUGCGUGAGGCGUUUCAAACAAAACUUCUGGAUACUAACAGACAACCUAAAACUUAGCCUUCCAAAUUGAUGAGAGAAACUUAUUUCCAGGCUAUUUUAGACUUAAUCACAAUCAAUGCUAUGCUUGCUGAAGUUGCUUGACGAAGUUCUGAUGUUUUCCUGAUCUAUGCAUAAAACCUUUAUGCUCUGUGUUUCACACACUCUUGUACUACAUGCCUGUAGUCUGUGUUUGAGCUGGACAGCGUGAAAUGUUGUUCUGAGUAGCAGUGAGACUGACUCCUCUGCUCUGUCUAGACUGUCCAAUAUUUAAGUGCACGAUUGUUGCGUCGCCGUACGCUUGUAUUUAAGGCCUUUGGCUGAACCCAGUGUUCGCGAUGCUCCGAGCUGUGGUUUCAAGCCCCUGAAGUCUCUGUAGUCUGCUAUGAGGUUCUAGUAACUAUAUGGGAUUCAGAUUUCCUCCUUUCCCCUGACAGAUUAGCUACCUGUCACAGGAAACCACUGUAACAGUGGGAGGUUGUUGUUUGAUUGAAUUCAGACAAAAUUUGUGUUCACAAAUCGCCGCAUUUGUGAUUUUUUAAAAAGUCUGCAGUUGAAUCUGCUGUUGAGGGAUUUGUCACUUUGAUUGUUGUCUCUAUAGUCUGCUAUGAAGUUCUAGUAACUAUAUGGGAUUUAGAUUUCCUCCUUUCCCCUGACAGAUAAGCUAUCUGUCACAGGAAACCACUGUAACAGUGGGAGGUUGUUGUUUGAAUGAAUUCAGACAAAAUCCGUGAUCACGAAUCGCCGCAUUUGUGAUUUUAAAGUCUGCAGUUGAAUCUGCUGUUGAGGGAUUUGUCACUUUGAUUCUUGUUCCUGUAAAUGAUUUUAUUGAACCAAUCUUCCUGAGCAGAUGGUGUAGAGUUCUAUGUUUGAGGGUGCAGAUGCAGCCUGCUGUGAAAUGUUAACCCUUUGUUGUCAGUGGAGAGACUGACCAUUUGGCCUUAAGCAGAUAAGGCCCUUCAGGAGGCAGAGCCUAAAGGCCCCUUCCUGCAUACUUCCCAACUCCUCAUAGCCACAAGAGGCUAGUUGGAUGACUGUUUCCUCUUUUCUUCUUCUUCUCCACUUGUGUUGAGCUUGUGCAGUUACCCCAACUCCAUACUGCCCCACAUGGUUGCUUUUGGUAUUGAGCUAACAAUGUUAUCUGCCUGCAGUAUCAGCCAGCUGUACUGCCUCCCUGUAGUCAGUGUGUAACACUCUACAGACAUAAUUCAAGUGAUUGACUUGGUUGAUGAAGUUUGAUGUGCUUAUUCUAAAUCAUUGAUCAUUGAUUUUGAUUUUUAUCUUUGUUAUAAGAGCCUCCAUGAUGUAUUGAUAAAGUAACUCAUUGAAUCGAUCACCUGAUCUUGUUGUUACUUAUCACACCAGUGAGCAGUUUUACUGUUCCCUAUAAUACAUGAAUGUAUUAACCCUCCUCAUAAGAUUAAUUAAUUAAUGAACAAAUUAAUUAAUAUUUGAAAUUUAUUUUACCAUUUCAGAUGAAUUGGGUAGUUGAAUCUUUAGCUUUAUUGCGAUUGGUGAAUUAAUUUCAGAGUUAAUUCCUUAAAUUGACAAUUUCAUCGAUUUUUCCCAAUUCAUCCAACUGCACCAGGCAGUUUAUUUAAGCUUUGCUGAUCUCUGCAACACGGAGACAAACUGAACCCUUUAUUCAAUGGUUCUGUAUCUGAUGUUAAAUUUAAUUUAACAUCAUUUCAUUGUUUUUCAAUUUUGAUUGAAAUGAAUUUAACUUUAUGUUAUUUUUCUCUCCAUUAGAGAUCUACUCAGAUAGGCUCUUCCUCUUUAUCAAGCACUGAUAAAUUAAGUCGAUUAACCCACUUAAUUUGAUAUUUUGCUUCUUCCUUUCAUUUUAAGUCAACUCAAACUCAUCAACCAACCACCUGCACCUCUUUACCAAAACCAAACAUGCCUAACACAAAAGAGUCCAGCCAGGGAGACCCCCUGAGGGACAUACACACAGUGUUGGCAAACUUGACUGGUCAGCUGAUACCUCAGUACAUGACUAAGAUUCAAAAGGCCAAACCCUCCAAUCCGGAGGAUGAAAUGGCUGACCUACUGGAAACAGCCUUAACCACGACACUUCGUGACAAAGAGCUCACUAGACGCAUGUCUGUCGUGAUGUCUUCUCAGCUUGAGUAUAAAGACUACUUGCUGGAAUGCGCUUUAACAAAGAUAAAGACGCAAAAAGAAGAAAACAGCGCUCUGAAAAAGACGCUAGAAGAGACUAAGAAGUCUCUAAAUGUUUUAGAAAAACACAGUGCCAGAUGUGAAGCGUCAAAGCUUCCCUCACUGAUAAGUCAUGAAGAAAAUCUUGAUCUCAAAGACAAGAUUGAAAGACUUGAUAAAACUCUUAACCAAAAAGAGAAAGAACUUGACAAAGCCAAUAAGCAUCUUGCUAAGACCACAGAGGAUCUGAUACAGUCAGAAUCCCUGCUAGAGCAAGCAACAGAAGAUGUAAAAGCUUUGAAAGCACUGGUCAAAGUGCGUGCUGAAGCUCUUGAAGUUAAGGAGAAGCAAACUUCUACCUUACAGCACCAGCUCCAGAUAGCUCAAAGACAGUUAAUUCUUUGUCAAGAACGGCAAGAAAAGACAGACAAAGGACUUGAAGAUGCCCAAAGAGAGUUACAAUGCUCCCUCCAGUCAGGUCGAGCCCAAAGAGAACGCAUGGAGCAAACGUUUCUUGAAGAAAUGAUAGGUGAUCAGCCUCCUGAGAGAGCGCCAUCACUUCCUUCCAAACCAACUCUUAAGUAUCUCUCUCAGCAUCAUGACAGGACCCUGCUUGACCCUGAGAGGUCAUCCUUAAACCAACAGUCCUACUCUCCUCCUCAUGAUGGCUUCUUACCAUCUCCCUCAGAUAGGGAUCUUGACAAAAUUGCUCGCAACAUAGCACGCUUUGAACCUGAGCACCAAGGUGCUACUGACACCUGCACCUACUUGAAAGACAUUGACUUUUACCUGAGGAAAUUUCCAGGUGCAACCAUUGAUGACAAGAUCUACCUUAUUAAGGCAACGUCAAGUCGAGAGGUUAGCAGUUUCCUUGAACGACAGCCUUAUCAUGUCAGAAAUAAUUAUGACUUGCUCUGCCAAGCAUUAAUUGAAGAGUUUUCUGAUCAUUUGACCCAGACAGGCCUUUCUGCUGCUCUGUCUAUUAAACAAGGGAGAUCAGAACCUCCCCAACAUUAUUACAACCGCUUACGCGAAGCUUACUUUGGUUUCCGAAAUGAACCAGAAAUGGAGGAGGACUUGAACUUCAAAACGCUGUUCGUCCAGAACCUCCACCCUACCACCAGUCAUCACCUUGGCGUCUUAGCUUGUCCAAACACUUUGACUAGCCGACAGCUUCGUGAACUUGCUGUAAAAGGUUUUGCCAAACAACGACAAACUUUGGCUAAGAAAGCAGAGCCUGUUACUCUGUUGGCUAUGGAGACAAAAUCACUGCCCAUGGAGCUGAACGAAGCUUCAGAUUGUGUAUUUUCAGGCUCCGAUAAGCCUCCAAAUGAGUGGUUAACCAGGCCUCCAAAACCUUUUCGACCUCAACAAACUCACAAAGGUCAAAGUUACACACCAAGGCCCAGGUCUGACACAGACCAAUGCCAGGUAAACUUUGAGACCAACUGUUGUUAUUCAGACUCCAGUCAUGGUGGGUUUUAUCCCAGACAAAGGAAAAACCAUCAACACCGCCAAAGGGGGGUGAAUGACUGGCAGAAUCAGAGUAAAUCACACUCUCAGAAACGACGAUCUUAUUAUCCACCUCAAUCGGUUUCAUCCACUUUGAAGGUGAAUAAACAUGACUACUCAGCUAACCACUGAGAUUAACACUGCGGAGUCAUGAAGGUGUGAGUCCUGCGAAAGCAGAAGUCACCCAGCCAAAGCUAAAUGACUCCAAUAAGAUAUCCAAAUGCUGUGGUGAUACAUUGAUGACUGCAACCCCAGUUGCUGCUUUCUUUGUUAGCAUUUGUCUCUCCUCUGUCAAUAUGGUCAGCUUGUCAGCUGUCGAAUAUCUCAUCAACAGAUUAAAAGCUGAAAUUUCUGUCAUUAAGACUCAGAUUGACAAAUUUCAGACUCAACAGCAGAUAAUUAGUCAAACCGGUAAGAGCAUCAUCCCCAAGUUUAACAGACAAAGUUUAAGAGAAACUCUGUGCAGUAAACUUUUGAUGUUUUUGAUUCAGGUUGACUAUGCUCAUACACAGAUGGUUAAUAUGUCUAUAGCAGACAUUUCUUUUCCACCUAAGUCUUAACCAUUUUUGAAACUGAAAUUGAACUUUCAGACUUCUCCAGCAAGCAUGGAAAACAGCUAUAUCUUUAGAUCCAGUUAGCAUUCAGACUAAAUAGUGCUUUCCUAAAUCUCAUUAAUACUGAAAAUUAGGAGAUUUUCUUUCACAUUAGUCUACCAAUAGUUAACUGAGAAAAGUCUAACAACAAGACUAUUUUAUUUGAUAGCUUAAUGCAUGCUUAAUUUUAUCUCAAAGCAGUACUAGUGAUUCACAUAGUGAUGACGAGACGCAUCAGUCCUAUUUGCAUACACCUGCUGCUGCUUCAUGGUUGUCUACUCGUCGUCCCGAUGCUCCAUGGACAGGACCACCGUGACGAAGGGGGGACUGUAGCAAUCAAGACAACCCUGGAUGUGAAACCCACACAUUCCUUACAGGAAAGUUUCCUUAUCUGGUCCCAGGAAACAGGAUAUAAAUCUUUCCAGACGUGUUUGCACUUUCAGGUUAAAUAAGUGACCCAACCGGAGGUUGACUAAACCUCUGACUCUUCAGGAUUGGUCAGUUCGGCGAACAGAGACAGAGUUUUUAUUACCUUUCAAACUGACUCCAUUACUGACCAUCUAAAUAAACAUUAACGUCUCAACCCAGAUCUCCCAUUUGAGAUUUAGCGUCUUAAAGUGUGUGAACAUACGGACCCCAGGAUAAGGGGGGACACUGACCUCCAGACCUCGGUCGUAAAACCCUGCUCGACCAUACACUGAUAAAGACUGCAUUCCUUUGGUGAAAGAAUACAAAUGACUGAUCAUGACAUCUUAUGCAUUCAGCAAUGUACUAAUCUGUCUAAUCAUGAAAUUUGUGUUAAAAUGAGAUGUUUCCCGUUUUUCUAUGUGCUUCAGAAGCCAAGUUAUCUUAUCUGACAGAAUAAAUCCUUAUUCUUUAGUUCUUUAGACCAACAGCUUUUCAGACUGUUUCAUGAACUUUUAAGAGUUAAAUUUAUUGACUAUGAAUCCUAAGUUUACUCUAAGUAACAGAAAUAGUUUAGAAAUGUUUGGUUUAUAUUUUAGUUAUUUAUUUAGUAUCUUAACCAUUAGGUGGUUAUAAUGUCACUGAAUAAUCUGAAUGUGAGUAUUUAGAAUCCAUUAUUAAUCACGAUGACGUUCAUUCACAUGUGUUUACUCUUUUGUUGUUCACAGUUUUCAUGUGUUACUAUCUGUUUCAUUUCAGAGUAAUUUAGCAUGUUCAAUGUGAUACUUAAAACAUAAUGAGAAUGUUUGAUGUGAUCCUACACUUCAUUCAUAUGUGUUUAGUAUCAAAUUAUUUAUCAUGAAACCAAGCAUUCAAUGAUAUUAAUCAUAGUGAGUGAGUAUCAGAUCUGACUCUUUUACCAGCCAAAAGAAUAAGUUAGAUCAAAUAAUCAGAGACCCGAUGACCCCCUCCUCUUUCUCCUCAGACACUCCCAGUGUGAGAAGAUAAAACCAGUGGAGUGGGGUUGCUCACUCUCUUAUCUCUCUUAUACUUCUGCUCUUCUGCUGACUCUCUUGUCCCCGGCUCUUAUGCCCCUUCUCUUCUGCCCACACCCUUCUGUGGUGCGUUUCUUUAUUUUCUCUUAGAACUUUUUCUUAGUCUUCUAAGUUUUACGCCACGUGUUGAUUCACGUUGAUUUUUCUUUAACAUCGUCUUAGUUCAAGUUUUGAAACUUCAACUUUUUGUGCACAUAGCAAUUCAAGAUUAAGCCUUUGAUUGAUUUUCUUUAAUUACGCGAAGCCAUUUUUGAAAGUUUUCUCUGCUCUUCGAGCCUCGUUUUUCUGAGUUUUCUGCGUGAUUUCAAAGUCACCUCCGAACGCAAUCCAACAGGCCCAGGUCAUCCUCUGUGCCAGAGUUUUUGAGUGAGACUAAAGAAGUACCCAAACGAGCAUCCACAGGAUCCACAGGCGCUGGUUUUUGCUUCGGGCCUGAGUGCUGCAACUCCUGGCUCAUCCUUCGGCUGACUUCAGUCGUCUUCUGAGCUGAACCGCUCGAACCGCCAGUAGCCCGGACCUUCGGAACCUGCUCCAUCUUCUCCAAGGACCAGUCUCACUUAAGUAUGCAAACCUCCAGAGCUCUAAAGAGGGCUGGUGCUGUCUCCUGCGUUCAACUCAGAUAUCCUCUUAUUCUGGUAAUCUUAGAUUCCUCCAAAUCCACAUCCGAGUUUAUCUCGACACUAAAGUUAGUGUAGGUUAAUAUGUUAGCGCAUAUUCACUCACUAUCAUUAACUUUAGUGCUCCUAGCCUGACUCAGAAUCUUGAUUUAUUCACCUAUUAUUAUUUAUCUUCAUUAUCUUAUCAUCAUUUAUUGCAUGUGUGUUGUACCAUCAUUUAUCCUGUAAUAAACAGAUAAUUAUUUUUCUAAGUUCUGGUCUGUUAGUGUUCUUCCAGAAGUGGAGUCCCUGAAAUUAGAAUUUCGACUUAAGAUAUGAGACUGAUUAAUUAAGACUGAUUAAUUAAGACUGAUUAAUUAAAACUGACUUGAUGUUUGAUUUCUGAAUUAAACUUUUGUUUUCUUUAUUUUCCCACCAUUAAGGGUGGGUGGUGCCCCUUUCAACGAGUGCAUAAAUGUCAUAAUUUGAGAUUAUUAAUCUUCAGACAUUUAUUAUAAAUUCCAAUCGCCAAGUAUUAUUUUGGUGCGGCCUUGUGAGGCUCAUUUCAAAUCGCUACAUAUAUUUUGGUGCGACCGUAUGAGGCUCAUUUCAAAUCACUACAUAUAUUUUGGAGCCCCUGCGUGAGGCGUUUCAAACAAAACUUCUGGAUACUAACAGACAACCUAAAACUUAGCCUUCCAAAUUGAUGAGAGAAACUUAUUUCCAGGCUAUUUUAGACUUAAUCACAAUCAAUGCUAUGCUUGCUGAAGUUGCUUGACGAAGUUCUGAUGUUUUCCUGAUCUAUGCAUAAAACCUUUAUGCUCUGUGUUUCACACACUCUUGUACUACAUGCCUGUAGUCUGUGUUUGAGCUGGACAGCGUGAAAUGUUGUUCUGAGUAGCAGUGAGACUGACUCCUCUGCUCUGUCUAGACUGUCCAAUAUUUAAGUGCACGAUUGUUGCGUCGCCGUACGCUUGUAUUUAAGGCCUUUGGCUGAACCCAGUGUUCGCGAUGCUCCGAGCUGUGGUUUCAAGCCCCUGAAGUCUCUGUAGUCUGCUAUGAGGUUCUAGUAACUAUAUGGGAUUCAGAUUUCCUCCUUUCCCCUGACAGAUUAGCUACCUGUCACAGGAAACCACUGUAACAGUGGGAGGUUGUUGUUUGAUUGAAUUCAGACAAAAUUUGUGUUCACAAAUCGCCGCAUUUGUGAUUUUUUAAAAAGUCUGCAGUUGAAUCUGCUGUUGAGGGAUUUGUCACUUUGAUUGUUGUCUCUAUAGUCUGCUAUGAAGUUCUAGUAACUAUAUGGGAUUUAGAUUUCCUCCUUUCCCCUGACAGAUAAGCUAUCUGUCACAGGAAACCACUGUAACAGUGGGAGGUUGUUGUUUGAAUGAAUUCAGACAAAAUCCGUGAUCACGAAUCGCCGCAUUUGUGAUUUUAAAGUCUGCAGUUGAAUCUGCUGUUGAGGGAUUUGUCACUUUGAUUCUUGUUCCUGUAAAUGAUUUUAUUGAACCAAUCUUCCUGAGCAGAUGGUGUAGAGUUCUAUGUUUGAGGGUGCAGAUGCAGCCUGCUGUGAAAUGUUAACCCUUUGUUGUCAGUGGAGAGACUGACCAUUUGGCCUUAAGCAGAUAAGGCCCUUCAGGAGGCAGAGCCUAAAGGCCCCUUCCUGCAUACUUCCCAACUCCUCAUAGCCACAAGAGGCUAGUUGGAUGACUGUUUCCUCUUUUCUUCUUCUUCUCCACUUGUGUUGAGCUUGUGCAGUUACCCCAACUCCAUACUGCCCCACAUGGUUGCUUUUGGUAUUGAGCUAACAAUGUUAUCUGCCUGCAGUAUCAGCCAGCUGUACUGCCUCCCUGUAGUCAGUGUGUAACACUCUACAGACAUAAUUCAAGUGAUUGACUUGGUUGAUGAAGUUUGAUGUGCUUAUUCUAAAUCAUUGAUCAUUGAUUUUGAUUUUUAUCUUUGUUAUAAGAGCCUCCAUGAUGUAUUGAUAAAGUAACUCAUUGAAUCGAUCACCUGAUCUUGUUGUUACUUAUCACACCAGUGAGCAGUUUUACUGUUCCCUAUAAUACAUGAAUGUAUUAACCCUCCUCAUAAGAUUAAUUAAUUAAUGAACAAAUUAAUUAAUAUUUGAAAUUUAUUUUACCAUUUCAGAUGAAUUGGGUAGUUGAAUCUUUAGCUUUAUUGCGAUUGGUGAAUUAAUUUCAGAGUUAAUUCCUUAAAUUGACAAUUUCAUCGAUUUUUCCCAAUUCAUCCAACUGCACCAGGCAGUUUAUUUAAGCUUUGCUGAUCUCUGCAACACGGAGACAAACUGAACCCUUUAUUCAAUGGUUCUGUAUCUGAUGUUAAAUUUAAUUUAACAUCAUUUCAUUGUUUUUCAAUUUUGAUUGAAAUGAAUUUAACUUUAUGUUAUUUUUCUCUCCAUUAGAGAUCUACUCAGAUAGGCUCUUCCUCUUUAUCAAGCACUGAUAAAUUAAGUCGAUUAACCCACUUAAUUUGAUAUUUUGCUUCUUCCUUUCAUUUUAAGUCAACUCAAACUCAUCAACCAACCACCUGCACCUCUUUACCAAAACCAAACAUGCCUAACACAAAAGAGUCCAGCCAGGGAGACCCCCUGAGGGACAUACACACAGUGUUGGCAAACUUGACUGGUCAGCUGAUACCUCAGUACAUGACUAAGAUUCAAAAGGCCAAACCCUCCAAUCCGGAGGAUGAAAUGGCUGACCUACUGGAAACAGCCUUAACCACGACACUUCGUGACAAAGAGCUCACUAGACGCAUGUCUGUCGUGAUGUCUUCUCAGCUUGAGUAUAAAGACUACUUGCUGGAAUGCGCUUUAACAAAGAUAAAGACGCAAAAAGAAGAAAACAGCGCUCUGAAAAAGACGCUAGAAGAGACUAAGAAGUCUCUAAAUGUUUUAGAAAAACACAGUGCCAGAUGUGAAGCGUCAAAGCUUCCCUCACUGAUAAGUCAUGAAGAAAAUCUUGAUCUCAAAGACAAGAUUGAAAGACUUGAUAAAACUCUUAACCAAAAAGAGAAAGAACUUGACAAAGCCAAUAAGCAUCUUGCUAAGACCACAGAGGAUCUGAUACAGUCAGAAUCCCUGCUAGAGCAAGCAACAGAAGAUGUAAAAGCUUUGAAAGCACUGGUCAAAGUGCGUGCUGAAGCUCUUGAAGUUAAGGAGAAGCAAACUUCUACCUUACAGCACCAGCUCCAGAUAGCUCAAAGACAGUUAAUUCUUUGUCAAGAACGGCAAGAAAAGACAGACAAAGGACUUGAAGAUGCCCAAAGAGAGUUACAAUGCUCCCUCCAGUCAGGUCGAGCCCAAAGAGAACGCAUGGAGCAAACGUUUCUUGAAGAAAUGAUAGGUGAUCAGCCUCCUGAGAGAGCGCCAUCACUUCCUUCCAAACCAACUCUUAAGUAUCUCUCUCAGCAUCAUGACAGGACCCUGCUUGACCCUGAGAGGUCAUCCUUAAACCAACAGUCCUACUCUCCUCCUCAUGAUGGCUUCUUACCAUCUCCCUCAGAUAGGGAUCUUGACAAAAUUGCUCGCAACAUAGCACGCUUUGAACCUGAGCACCAAGGUGCUACUGACACCUGCACCUACUUGAAAGACAUUGACUUUUACCUGAGGAAAUUUCCAGGUGCAACCAUUGAUGACAAGAUCUACCUUAUUAAGGCAACGUCAAGUCGAGAGGUUAGCAGUUUCCUUGAACGACAGCCUUAUCAUGUCAGAAAUAAUUAUGACUUGCUCUGCCAAGCAUUAAUUGAAGAGUUUUCUGAUCAUUUGACCCAGACAGGCCUUUCUGCUGCUCUGUCUAUUAAACAAGGGAGAUCAGAACCUCCCCAACAUUAUUACAACCGCUUACGCGAAGCUUACUUUGGUUUCCGAAAUGAACCAGAAAUGGAGGAGGACUUGAACUUCAAAACGCUGUUCGUCCAGAACCUCCACCCUACCACCAGUCAUCACCUUGGCGUCUUAGCUUGUCCAAACACUUUGACUAGCCGACAGCUUCGUGAACUUGCUGUAAAAGGUUUUGCCAAACAACGACAAACUUUGGCUAAGAAAGCAGAGCCUGUUACUCUGUUGGCUAUGGAGACAAAAUCACUGCCCAUGGAGCUGAACGAAGCUUCAGAUUGUGUAUUUUCAGGCUCCGAUAAGCCUCCAAAUGAGUGGUUAACCAGGCCUCCAAAACCUUUUCGACCUCAACAAACUCACAAAGGUCAAAGUUACACACCAAGGCCCAGGUCUGACACAGACCAAUGCCAGGUAAACUUUGAGACCAACUGUUGUUAUUCAGACUCCAGUCAUGGUGGGUUUUAUCCCAGACAAAGGAAAAACCAUCAACACCGCCAAAGGGGGUGAAUGACUGGCAGAAUCAGAGUAAAUCACACUCUCAGAAACGACGAUCUUAUUAUCCACCUCAAUCGGUUUCAUCCACUUUGAAGGUGAAUAAACAUGACUACUCAGCUAACCACUGAGAUUAACACUGCGGAGUCAUGAAGGUGUGAGUCCUGCGAAAGCAGAAGUCACCCAGCCAAAGCUAAAUGACUCCAAUAAGAUAUCCAAAUGCUGUGGUGAUACAUUGAUGACUGCAACCCCAGUUGCUGCUUUCUUUGUUAGCAUUUGUCUCUCCUCUGUCAAUAUGGUCAGCUUGUCAGCUGUCGAAUAUCUCAUCAACAGAUUAAAAGCUGAAAUUUCUGUCAUUAAGACUCAGAUUGACAAAUUUCAGACUCAACAGCAGAUAAUUAGUCAAACCGGUAAGAGCAUCAUCCCCAAGUUUAACAGACAAAGUUUAAGAGAAACUCUGUGCAGUAAACUUUUGAUGUUUUUGAUUCAGGUUGACUAUGCUCAUACACAGAUGGUUAAUAUGUCUAUAGCAGACAUUUCUUUUCCACCUAAGUCUUAACCAUUUUUGAAACUGAAAUUGAACUUUCAGACUUCUCCAGCAAGCAUGGAAAACAGCUAUAUCUUUAGAUCCAGUUAGCAUUCAGACUAAAUAGUGCUUUCCUAAAUCUCAUUAAUACUGAAAAUUAGGAGAUUUUCUUUCACAUUAGUCUACCAAUAGUUAACUGAGAAAAGUCUAACAACAAGACUAUUUUAUUUGAUAGCUUAAUGCAUGCUUAAUUUUAUCUCAAAGCAGUACUAGUGAUUCACAUAGUGAUGACGAGACGCAUCAGUCCUAUUUGCAUACACCUGCUGCUGCUUCAUGGUUGUCUACUCGUCGUCCCGAUGCUCCAUGGACAGGACCACCGUGACGAAGGGGGGACUGUAGCAAUCAAGACAACCCUGGAUGUGAAACCCACACAUUCCUUACAGGAAAGUUUCCUUAUCUGGUCCCAGGAAACAGGAUAUAAAUCUUUCCAGACGUGUUUGCACUUUCAGGUUAAAUAAGUGACCCAACCGGAGGUUGACUAAACCUCUGACUCUUCAGGAUUGGUCAGUUCGGCGAACAGAGACAGAGUUUUUAUUACCUUUCAAACUGACUCCAUUACUGACCAUCUAAAUAAACAUUAACGUCUCAACCCAGAUCUCCCAUUUGAGAUUUAGCGUCUUAAAGUGUGUGAACAUACGGACCCCAGGAUAAGGGGGGACACUGACCUCCAGACCUCGGUCGUAAAACCCUGCUCGACCAUACACUGAUAAAGACUGCAUUCCUUUGGUGAAAGAAUACAAAUGACUGAUCAUGACAUCUUAUGCAUUCAGCAAUGUAUUAAUCUGUCUAAUCAUGAAAUUUGUGUUAAAAUGAGAUGUUUCCCGUUUUUCUAUGUGCUUCAGAAGCCAAGUUAUCUUAUCUGACAGAAUAAAUCCUUAUUCUUUAGUUCUUUAGACCAACAGCUUUUCAGACUGUUUCAUGAACUUUUAAGAGUUAAAUUUAUUGACUAUGAAUCCUAAGUUUACUCUAAGUAACAGAAAUAGUUUAGAAAUGUUUGGUUUAUAUUUUAGUUAUUUAUUUAGUAUCUUAACCAUUAGGUGGUUAUAAUGUCACUGAAUAAUCUGAAUGUGAGUAUUUAGAAUCCAUUAUUAAUCACGAUGACGUUCAUUCACAUGUGUUUACUCUUUUGUUGUUCACAGUUUUCAUGUGUUACUAUCUGUUUCAUUUCAGAGUAAUUUAGCAUGUUCAAUGUGAUACUUAAAACAUAAUGAGAAUGUUUGAUGUGAUCCUACACUUCAUUCAUAUGUGUUUAGUAUCAAAUUAUUUAUCAUGAAACCAAGCAUUCAAUGAUAUUAAUCAUAGUGAGUGAGUAUCAGAUCUGACUCUUUUACCAGCCAAAAGAAUAAGUUAGAUCAAAUAAUCAGAGACCCGAUGACCCCCUCCUCUUUCUCCUCAGACACUCCCAGUGUGAGAAGAUAAAACCAGUGGAGUGGGGUUGCUCACUCUCUUAUCUCUCUUAUACUUCUGCUCUUCUGCUGACUCUCUUGUCCCCAGCUCUUAUGCCCCUUCUCUUCUGCCCACACCCUUCUGUGGUGCGUUUCUUUAUUUUCUCUUAGAACUUUUUCUUAGUCUUCUAAGUUUUACGCCACGUGUUGAUUCACGUUGAUUUUUCUUUAACAUCGUCUUAGUUCAAGUUUUGAAACUUCAACUUUUUGUGCACAUAGCAAUUCAAGAUUAAGCCUUUGAUUGAUUUUCUUUAAUUACGCGAAGCCAUUUUUGAAAGUUUUCUCUGCUCUUCGAGCCUCGUUUUUCUGAGUUUUCUGCAUGAUUUCAAAGUCACCUCCGAACGCAAUCCAACAGGCCCAGGUCAUCCUCUGUGCCAGAGUUUUUGAGUGAGACUAAAGAAGUACCCAAACGAGCAUCCACAGGAUCCACAGGCGCUGGUUUUUGCUUCGGGCCUGAGUGCUGCAACUCCUGGCUCAUCCUUCGGCUGACUUCAGUCGUCUUCUGAGCUGAACCGCUCGAACCGCCAGUAGCCCGGACCUUCGGAACCUGCUCCAUCUUCUCCAAGGACCAGUCUCACUUAAGUAUGCAAACCUCCAGAGCUCUAAAGAGGGCUGGUGCUGUCUCCUGCGUUCAACUCAGAUAUCCUCUUAUUCUGGUAAUCUUAGAUUCCUCCAAAUCCACAUCCGAGUUUAUCUCGACACUAAAGUUAGUGUAGGUUAAUAUGUUAGCGCAUAUUCACUCACUAUCAUUAACUUUAGUGCUCCUAGCCUGACUCAGAAUCUUGAUUUAUUCACCUAUUAUUAUUUAUCUUCAUUAUCUUAUCAUCAUUUAUUGCAUGUGUGUUGUACCAUCAUUUAUCCUGUAAUAAACAGAUAAUUAUUUUUCUAAGUUCUGGUCUGUUAGUGUUCUUCCAGAAGUGGAGUCCCUGAAAUUAGAAUUUCGACUUAAGAUAUGAGACUGAUUAAUUAAGACUGAUUAAUUAAGACUGAUUAAUUAAAACUGACUUGAUGUUUGAUUUCUGAAUUAAACUUUUGUUUUCUUUAUUUUCCCACCAUUAAGGGUGGGUGGUGCCCCUUUCAACGAGUGCAUAAAUGUCAUAAUUUGAGAUUAUUAAUCUUCAGACAUUUAUUAUAAAUUCCAAUCGCCAAGUAUUAUUUUGGUGCGGCCUUGUGAGGCUCAUUUCAAAUCGCUACAUAUAUUUUGGUGCGACCGUAUGAGGCUCAUUUCAAAUCACUACACACCCGUGUUGGCGCCCCUGGGUGUGCACCAUAGACUGUAUCUAGAAUGGACGCUGUCUGCCUCCUCGCUGGGUGAUACCACUCAGAGAACAGCGCCCUCUGGUGACGGGCUGCAGUAUAGGUCAUAAACCCCGCCUCCUCCAGACAAACUUUAUAAAUUAAACUCUAUCAAUGAAUCGAUGGUUGUAGAUGGUUUAAUAAGCCAUCUCAACACUAGAGUCUAGUCCUCUGCCUCUUCAAACUUGGAGAUAAUUGUUUCAGCAGAAAUUGUCCAACAGACAUCUGAAAAAGUUGAAGUAGACUCCAUUUUUGUCUUCUCGCUUCCACCCAGGACGCUGUAGGUUGUUAAGGGAAGGUCCCGCCCUCCUUCGCCUCUGAUUGGCUGUAAGUGCUGACCGUUUGGCUUGAGUGUGUGAUGACGUUUCCAGAUUUUUUAGCCAAUCAGAGGCGCAGGAGGCGGGACUUUCCCCCAGAAAAGUCUUCCCCGGGAUUCAUCUUUUUCCCCCCGGAAAAUUGCAUCAAGCUUAAUGUGUAUACUCAGGUGUGUCAAAAUUCGCCUCAGAAUAUUUCGUGUUCUAUGUUUGUGUGUGAGGACCUUAACAGUGAAUCUGAGACUCUCCACAGACUGGUGACUGAGUCCUGGUCCAGGUUUUUUAAAGGAUCAGGACCAACAGUUUAUUUAGCUGCAGACUAUAAAACUAAUGAAAGUUAAAGAUGUUCCUGUUCUGUGAAGCUCUGUGUAUAACUCUAUAAAUAACCUGACUCUGUUGCAUCAUUCGUUAUGAUGUUGCGUCACAUUGAAUCAUUCUGACUUAUUUCUCAUCACAUGGUUUUGUCUCCCGUCUGAACACCUCAGGAUGGUUCUGCUCCUGGUCUGAAAUCUGAGCUGAAGGGGUCUUCAGAUCCUCCUGGACUCUAACCGAGUCCACGUCCGCAGUAACCAGAGGAGACUUCCUCUGACUCCAACAGAUCCAGAUAAGGAUGAAAAACACUUCCUCGUUCUUUCAUAUGUGAGCGUUUUUAAUUAGAGAUUAUCUGUGGGACCCCCCGGUGGUGUGUGAGAGAGAGGGUCCUCAGAGACGCAGUGACAGAUUUUACCCUCUGAUGUCUUUAACAUUCAUCUCUCUUCACUUUGAAGUCUCUCCUCUCAAACUCGGAGCCGUUCUUCAGUUAAUGUGGAAAAAAAGAGGAGAUGAUCUUAUCGGAGGGCAUUAUUCCUCCUCCCUGUUCCUCUCGAACCCUCAUCGUUUUUCAGUAAAAGCUGAUAGCUGCUGGAGGAUUUCUCAGUAAGAGCUGAUAGGGUUUAUUGUCUGUGGACUGUUGGAGUUUUAAAACCGCGAAUAACAAAAACGUACAGAAGAAGAAAACUUCUCCAGGAGUUAACUUCCUGAGCGUGAACAAUCUUAUCAGCUCCGUCAUAAUCAGACUGACGGGACGGUCCGAAGUUUCGCCUCGUCUGCACAAAAACACAAAAGUCCUAAAAACUCCAAAUUCUUUCAGAUAGACUCUCUAAUAUUAUUAUAUUAUUGACAUCUCUGUUUUUAACUGGUUUGAAUCUUAUCUUAGUGACGGACAACUUAGCGUGAACCUCAGGGAUCGCUCAUUUAGACAUGAAGUGUACGGUGUUCCUCAAGGCUCCAUUUCAGGACCUUCUCUUUUUAAUCUUCACAUGUCACCUUUAGAAAAUGUCGUCAGGAGGUUCAGCAUCAAUCAGAACCACUCGACGCCCCUUUUUAACUGCACUUUAGACGUUAAAUCAUGGAUGUCAGAGAACUUUUAACAGCUCAACCAGGACAAACUCAGGUUUUAGUCAUCGGGACAGGAGAGAGAAACUGGUCAGUAAACUCACAGUACUGUCCUAUAAUCCAAGUCAAAGAGCUCAAAAUGUAGGAGUUUUAUUUGAUUCAGAACUGAGUUUGAGCCUCACAUACGAGAUUUCACAGAGAAGGUAUUUUAUCAGUUAAAAAACAAAACCAGAGUGCGACUGUUUCUCUCUCAAGUCAACGCAGAGACAUGAAUUCAUGCUUUCAUCACCUGUAGAAUAGAUUAUUGUCCUAAAAGAACAUUUCACAGUUACUCCAAAAUUCAGCUGCAUGGAUGUUAACCAGGACCAGAAAGAGAGAUCACAUUACACUCUUUUAGAACAGAUUUUAAGUCUGUUUUACUGGUUUUUAAAGCUCUUCAUGUCUUUGGUCCUUCUUAUUUAUCUUCUGAGUCAGGUAGAGUCCUCAGGUCUUCAGGAAGUUCUCUGUUCACAUUAUUAAAGUUAAAACUAAAACAUACGCUGAGACAUCGUUUUAUUACUACGACCCCGUCUGUGGAACAGCUGACCUGAAGACCUGAGGACUGAAACUGAUCUGAAUGACUUUAAAACUGAACUGAAAACAAACCUUUUUAGUCUCUUUACUAAAUUUUAUAUCAUGAACUUUAAGUGUUUUAUCAUUUAUCUCUUUCUAUAUUUAACGACAGGAUCCUCUUUUAUUUUGUUGCUCUUAUUUUAGUGUCUUUUACUGUUGUUUUCAUUUUAUUUAUUUCUUAAAUUUUUCAUUUCUUUGUUUUUAGAUUUUAACCCUCCAGUGUUUCUUGAGUUUUAAAAUGACAUUUCCUCAGAUUAAAGCUCUUUUUAAGUUGAUGUAUUUUAAUUCUGUUUCUGUUUCGUUUAGAUUGUGGGAAUUAGGGGUUGGAUUGGGGUAGAUUUUGGUUUUCUUUGUGCUGCAUGGUUGUGUAUGUAAAGUACGUUAUAAAUAAAGACUGAUUGAUUGAUUUAAAGUUUCAAGUCUGUUUUUUUUUUUAUGUAAUCAGAUAAAAAUGUACCCGAUGACUCUGCGGACAGACAGAAACCCUCUGUCAGUUUUUUGACUCCUGUUCUUUUGAAUGUUUUAGUUUCUCCGUCCCCGUCAGUCGGAGCUGUUUACAGAAAACUCUCCUCCCUCCAGUCGGAGUUAAAUUUAGAUUUCAGAAAUGAGCUCAUUUGAUUCACUUCAUCUGCUUUAUCUCUCUCUGGUUUGUGUGUGAUGAUAAGUUUAGACUCAGCUCAGGCCCUGCAGGAGCACAGUCAAACAGAAGCAUGUGUCCGAGCGGGGCCGAGCGGACAGAUGUGUGUCAGCUGGGACUUAUUUUUGGACCUGCAGGGAAGUGGGGCUGGCUGCUCCCUCUCUGCAGAAACAAAACACACUCAUGUCCUCAGCAUGUUCUUACAUAACACAAACACUUCCAAACAAGGAUUUCUGCAUCACUUGUGGGUCUGUGGAUGUGGACGCUCGCCCCGGACUCCAGAAGUGGGUCAGCUGGGUCUGAUGGAGGUUGAUUCAGUCUCUCCUUCUUCCACUCCAGGCGCCUGUUUGUUAACGACUCCAGGAUCCGAGGGGAAACACUCCAACCUCUCAUUUUCUGCCUCAGUGAGAUCAUUUAAACACUCAUGAUGAAGACGAGGAUGAGGAUGAGGAGAGUCCCUGCAGCUCAGACCUCCUCACUCUCAUUUCAAAGAUUUACAUCCUGCUGAACUCGGAGUCUGUGAAUGAAGGAGUGAAUGAGAGUGAAUGAGAGUGAAUAUGAGGAAACUGACGAACUGACCUCAGACUGAAGACCAGGUCUUUGUUGGUCCGAGGUGCCCACCAUACACUGUACGGACAACUUGGCUCCGCCUAUCGUCAAUAUACGAAAUUGAUGCAGAAUUUCUCUGUAUUUCCGGAUUUUCUCCACUUCCUGAAACCAACAUCGCGCAGUAGAGUCGCACGCAUUCGGCGGGAGAGUCAUCGAGUCGCUGUGAUCAUAGAUAUCUAAACACUAGAUGUCUUGCUCAUUCUCUCUCCGUCGUCUCCUGUGCCUCGAUCGUAAAACACCGGUGCAUCACUUCUGUUGUUGCUUUUUUUAUUUGCAUCCUUUUAUUUUUGUAGUGAGCAACUUUUUUUGUGUGUCCUUAACCUCCGUUGUGGCUUUUUUUUUUUUUUUAAAUGCACAGUUUCUUUCUUUUUUUUAUUUGCAGCAGUGUCGGUUCUCGGCCACCGUAGUGGAGGGUCCCAGUUUCUCUGUAAAUAGUCUCUCAGUUUCUUCACUCUGGUUUCCUUCAGCAGUUUGAUCCUGAAACAGAAGCUGAUGUUCUGGAGAUGUUCUCCUCAUUAACGGGUCUUUAGUUUGCUAAAAUAACAACAUCAUGAUGCAGAUCAAGACAAAGUCGAGUUUUGUCAGUCUGUCCUCAAGAGGAGAAGAAAACUAAAUUUGUUGAAAGGAGGUCAGAUUAUCACUUGACAUCAGGGAAGUCAGGAAAUCUGAACUCUGAUCGUCUUUUAAAGCAGUUAUCAGUUUGAGGAAAUCUAGAGUGUGUUUAUCAGGAGGAUGCAAAUGUGGAGAAAGAGAGAAACACUCUUAAUCAUCUGCAUUAAAACAACGUUGGAGUCAAAUUAAGCUGCAUAAUUUAGUUUGAUUGUAUAAUUACAGACAUGAAAUAAGAAGAAAGUGUUUCAGGAUGGAGACGGUGAAGAGAAGUGACACCUCCUGGUCUCUGUUAGAUCUCUUCAUUUUCAGACGCCGUCCUCAGAGGACUGAGAGCAGCUCUCCACAGACCUGAGCGUCCACAGGUUGUUCAGGUUGUUCAGGUUGUUGUUGUUGCCAUGAGCGAUGAGCGAGAUGCUUCCACAUGUGGUCGUCUGACUCAUACCUGCAUGAGUCAGGAGAAGAGGAAAGGAGAGCGAGGAAGGAUUGGGCUUUUAGUGAACCACAGAGCGAGGACAUUAUCUUAAACGGCGAGGGAGACGGGAGUCACGACUUUUCAUUUUACUACGGAAACAGGACGAGUGUUUUCAGCUGCAUAAUGACGACCUGAGUUAACGCCACAAAAAGCUCAUUUCCUCUCGUUCUGCUUUCUUCAGCAUGAGGAGGAUUUCCUGAACUCAAAUAACCUCCAAAGAAACAGACGCAGCAGCUUUAGGACGCGAUGGACCGAGAGAUUCUCGUCUUUACUGUUCAGACGACUAAUCUGCAGCAUCUGAGAGAAGUUAUCAGAGUAAUAAACCCGUAAAUCUGAGAGAUUAGGUCAUUCAGACAAAGACAGGAAAGGUCAAAGCAGGUGAAGACUCACCUGUUCGAUGAGCUCACUGUCCUCUCAUCUCCACACCGACUGUAAUCUGUAAUCUGUAAUAAAUUAAAUUUAGUUUGCUCGCUCUCUUCUAACCGCUCAAUCUGGUGCAUUUGUUGUUUCUUUCUUUUACAGCUCGCAGACAUGGCGCUCACAUGUUCCUCCGCCUGCUGCGUGAUGAUCAUCUGCAGGCUUCAGAAGAGAGAAACGAUGAUCCCGACAGCGGCGAUGACAUGCUGUUUACCUUCAAGACAACAGCUGGAGAUGAAGAUGAAGAUGAAGAUGAAGAAGAAGAGAGAGGAGAAACGUCUGUUCAGACCGGAGCAGGAGAGAGAAGAUCGGAUCAUCUCCUGAAGAACAGAAGUGAAUGAAUGUUCUGAAUCAGCAGUGACUGUCGAAAGCUGAAGAAGCUGAAGAACUGGAUCUUUGAGCGUGCGUCUGUUCUUCUUCUUCUUCUUCUGUGUUUGUACGCUGCUGUCUGUGUUUGCUGCUCCUCAGCACUGUUGCAUGAUGGGAAAUAUAACACUUUCGUACCAGAGACUCAAAAUGAUCGUAUUUUGGGGAAAAUGAUCGUACACCCGUCAUAAUCAAAACAACAAUCUUACUGUUGCGUGAUGGUCACUCCUCCUGACCUCCGCCCUCUCUCUCUCUCUCUGUUUUUUAUUUGUACUCAGCUGUUCCUCCUCCCUCUCUCUCUCUCUCUCUCUCUCUCUCUCUCUCUCUCUCUCUCUCUCUCACCCUCCCUCUUUCUCUCUCUCUCCCUCACUCACUCCAUCUCGCUUUAAGCCGUUCGGCACUUUGUCUCUUCGGCAGCAGGUGAGGCAGAUUAAGCUGAAUUAGUUCCUGGCAGACCUGCAGCACCUCCACCUGAGUCAUCCUCUUUUCCUCUCUCCUCUGUCUUUCUCCUGCGUCACGCUCCUCCUCCUCCUCUUCUUCACCUCCUUCACUCUUUCUUCCUCCUGUAAGCCUGUAAACACGAUCAUAUAAACUGAAACUCCUCGGAGGAUUUCACUCUGAGUACGUUGGCAUCAUUUCUCUGACGGUUUACAGUCAGACCGAUUUAAAGUUUCUGUCUGUGAGGAAACAUCGGUGUUUAAUCCACACUUUGAUCAUCAGUUUAACGGUUAUUGAUCACAUUCAUCACGUCUGCUUCCUCAGACUGAUGGGACUGACAGCUCUCCUCCGUCUGAGUCCGAUCAGAGCUGAUGAUCUGUGUGUCUCUGGGUUUAUACCUGUCUUAUAUUAACUGACCAACAUGUCUGCGGUUUAUAAUGAGUGUAUGAAAUAUUGAUGCCCACUUCCUGAUGAACCUGCAGGAGCUGGAGCUGCUUCAUUAAAAGAGAAACACAAAUGGAAAUUCACUUUCUGGCCUCAGGGAGGAAACUAUCACACAGCAGUUUGUCUUUAUGUUUGGUUGUUCAGUUUUACAGUCAUCUCAUUUUUGUUUUUCACGCUCUCUCCCACCUGUCUUUUCCCUCACUUUUAGAGGUGUCCUUGUAAAACAAAGUCAGAGGAGAAAAACAAAGAAAUACGAUGAUAAACGUCUGUGGAAAAGAAAGAAAAGAGGAAAGUGAGGAAAUGAAAAUAGGAGUAUGAAAGAGAUGACGACAGUUUUUCAUUUUAUUCUGGUAAAUCCUUUCCUGAAGUUUGUAAACCAUGUCAGGCAGCAUGGUGGGUUUUUUCUUGCAUGUAUGAAACAUAAAAUACUUGAAUGUCUGAUUGAUUUUCUGUCAAAUGUUUGGAUUGUUUAUGUUAAAUGAGUUAAAAACAGUGAGUGACUGAAAUGCAAACAGAAAAUGAGACUUUUUAUCGGUGAAUUUGAAAGAUUAAGAGGCUUAACCCCCAAUUUCAUGGCGGAUUAUGGACAGCAGGAAUCGCGAGAACUCACAAGAACCCGUGGAUUCACAUUCCAUUACGUGAUAACGAGAUGUCUGUAUAAAGACAGACACAUAGACAUAUAAUCACAGAGUGUUUUAUUUUGAAAAGAAGCCGGAUGUUUUAUUUUGUGUCUGUGCCCGACUUCCUUUCCAGCACGGGUUAAUCUGUGCUGAAUUUAUCCGCCAUGCUCCGGCGUCCAGAAAAAAUAGAACUCUUGUGAUCAGCUGAUAAAAGAAGUCGGUGUAAAUUGACACGUUAACUUGAAUGGUUACGAUCAGCUACGAUCGGAGGAUACGACCUUUUCUUCAGUCCUCCAUCAUGACCUCCAGCUCCCACGGUUGGAGACUCUAAUCUGACUGUAAGACGAUAAUAGUUUAGAUUUACUGACUUCCCUGAAUGCUUCAGAAAGACAAAUGAACAGGAAACCAGCAUGAAGAGAAACUAUUUACAGAGAAACUGAGACUCUCCUCAGACAAAGACGACUCCUGAGGAUGUAACAGUAAAGAAACGGAGACAGGUAUUUUACAGAGGUAUCUGAAACGGCGGUUUUCACUUCUCCUCUGACUUGAACUCACCAUCGAUUCUCAACACAUGCACAGAUACAAACAGAGCAUGAUCACCAUAAACAGGUCACUCCUGUCCAUUAGCAGCUUUAUUGGAUUCUGCUUCAGUCUGAUUAAACUCAACAUCCUGACACACGUUGACAGACUAAUGAGCCGGCCCUCGUUACAUGUGUGUGUCUGUCCAUGUCUUAUUACAGGCUGAGAAACAAACGUUUGGAUGUCUGAGUCUUAAUAUCAGCCUCUUCUGACCAAUCAGGCGUCCAAAGUCGAGGAGGUUGAUGCUUGUAGCCGAAGCAGCUGGAAAACAUCUGCAGCAGUGAUCCAGAGGAACCUACAGGAUGAUGGAGCUCAAGGACUCUCAGAAAAGAGUGUGUUUUAGUGACUCAGAGAGAGGAUGGAGAAGGAGAUCCAUCAUCAUCCAUCCACACGCCUCUCCCUCUCCUUCUCUAGAAAACAGGUACGGAUGUGGAAAACUCAGUAUAAAUGAUAAAAUCAUGAUUUUACACAUCAUAAAUAAUUAUUAAAAAACUCAAACAUAAUGGAAAGUUAAUUUAGUUUGUCACUUUCCUUCUUCUGUCAUUAAAUGAUGAAUUUAUAAUAAGUAAUCUGACACAUGACGUGUCAGAUGUUUGAAUUUAAAUGAAAUCUUAAUAAAUAAAUGAUAGUAGCUUUCUUAAAUGACCACUUUCCUAAUUGAGUUAGUUGUUCCUGCAGUGAAUGUCAGACCUCUCUAAUAGAUGUGAGGUUUUUAUAAUAAGUAGUGUGUGCACAGGUGACGGCCUGCAGAAAUGAAGCUGUCAGGCUGAACGGUUGGAUUUGGAGGAGGACCUGGUUGGAUGUUUGACACCUGCAGGCACUUUGUUCCACGUCUGAUGUGAGCGACAGCCACCGCCGCCGCCGCCUCCUCCUUCUCAGGGGAUUAGAGGGAUCAGAUGAAACUGAGAGUCUGGACAGGAGAGUUAGGGAGGCUGCUUCCAUGUGUUUCAGUCUCCUAAAAUAAGGAUUAUUGCAGAACAUGAACAUUUUUGGCACAAAUUCUUCCUCUAAUGAAGGCUGCACCAUCUGUGAGGGGG